rnacentral:tRNA from 1 species
GCCACUGUGGCUCAGUGGAUAGAGCUUUGGCCUGUGCACUGAAAGGUCACGGGUUCAAUUCCUGGUCAAAGGUA